AUGAAGUGAAGCCGUGCAGAUAAAUUGACUGGCUUAAGGGCAACAUGAAAAUGCACCCUAAAUAGUGAACAAAGAGCUAAAUUAUGCCUGUGCUGUUGUACUGAUGCUUAAGUGAAUGAAAGGUCACUUACAAACAAAAAUAGCUGCUUGCAUGUGCAAGUGUUAUGUUGUAGAAGACUACUCAGGGAAUGUGUGUGUCUGUUGGACUUAGACACAACCAUUUUUGUCACAACAAAAUGAAUUUCACUGCAUAUGUCCCCCCAAGGCAUCAUUAUAAUUUUAUUCUUACAGAGAGCAGCAGGAUUGAGGACAACGAAUUCAGAUUAUUUCCUUUCUGACAGAUGUAAACAUAGCACCUGCAAAUGCUUACCCUGGUCUGCACUGCAGGUAUUGCUGUUGCAAACUCAACAAUCUAAAUUCAGGAUUUCCAGGCUUAGAGGACCUUUGCAUGUAUGUGACCCACUUAAAGGAAGAAUGAAAAAGAACAUAAACAAUAAUGACAGUUGUAAGUGAAAUCCAAUUUCACCUCAUGUCUCUUGAAAGCGCACUGGAACAUGGAAGAGCCCAACUGGUUGUGUGGCAGCGCUGCUGAAAGGGGAAGGAAAGCAGCUGCUCCUGUGCCAUGCAGAGGGCAGGGUGUAAUGUCUGUGUGAGCCCUGCUGCUGCCUCAGGUGGGCACCUCAGGGCAAAUGGGAUAAAACCACUCCCAACAACAUUUCAUCACCUCAGGAAUUGUCCCAAAUGAUACAGAGUACCUCCCAGGCCUGAAUGUGAAUAUUUUACCUAAAGUAAAACAAGAGCAUCUUCAAGUGCAAGCAAGGCUUAUGGUAAGAGCUGUGGCAAGACUUCUGCAAGAUUGGGUCUCCUCCUGAACAUCUGCAUGCCUGCAGUGUAACCAGGAACAGUCCUGAAUUCAUGGCACACGAACUGGUAAAAGACCAGGGCAGCCUGGGCCAUGCAGUGGUCUGGGCAUUUCAGUGCUGCUUGCCUAUGGGGGUGUUGUGCUGCCCCAAUCCUUUUUCUGAGCUGUAACCCCCACACCCCGAGAUUAAAUCUGCAUGUGUACGCUAGGACAAGACAACUGUAACUCACAAACACUGUCGAAUUAAUAUAACCUAAAAGGCAUUUGGCUUUUGGUAAGCAUUAGGUGGAGGAGUUUCUCAGAAGAAGAGACUGAAUGUGAUUUUUCUAGAGUGGUAAAAAUAGACUUUCUACAGUCGCCUGCUGGGGUGCCUGAAGGUAAAGUUUAUGGACAGGGUUUCCUUUUAUGCUAAUACAUUUCAAUCUAUUACAGAGCAAGUUGAUAAGAGAAGCUCUAACUAUGCUUCUUUCCACUGUACCACCCUGGGAAGUAAUAAAUUACAGCCUAUUAUGUUCCCUAUCAGUCCUACCCAUCACACAUCUUACAGAAGAUGUGAUAAAGAGAAACACCUUGGCUAGAGUAAUGCAAUUAACUGCUGCCAUUUGAAAUGUGA